rnacentral:misc_RNA from 1 species
CACAAAGUGAUACAAGUUUUAUCAUUUUUACUCGUAAGAAUUUUCUUGCAUAUUCUUUUAACAGAGAUGAGCUUCGUUUAGCUGUAGAGUUGUAGUGCUUACUUUAGAGAGUUAUUAAAAAUUCUUCAAUCUUCAAUUGUUACGGCAAAACCUUCCAAAUAGUGUGGGGGAAGGGACUACUGUAUAUCUAAACUCUUGUAUUUGUUGUAAAACCGAUUGGUG